rnacentral:rRNA from 1 species
GAUGAACGCUAGCGGCAGGCUUAAUACAUGCAAGUCGAGGGGUAGCAAGAUUGUAGCAAUACAAUUGUUGACGACCGGCAACGGGUGCGGAACACGUACACAACCUUCCUACAAGUGGGGAAUAGCCCAGAGAAAUUUGGAUUAAUACCCCGUAACAUAGCGAUGUGGCAUCACAUUGCUAUUAUAGCUUCGGCGCUUGUUGAUGGGUGUGCGGCUGAUUAGAUAGUUGGCGGGGUAACGGCCCACCAAGUCUACGAUCAGUAGCUGAUGUGAGAGCAUGAUCAGCCACACGGGCACUGAGACACGGGCCCGACUCCUACGGGAGGCAGCAGUAAGGGAUAUUGGACAAUGGACGCAAGUCUGAUCCAGCCAUGCCGCGUGAAGGAUUAAGGUCCUCUGGAUUGUGAACUUCUUUUAUAAGGGACGAAAAAAGGUCUUUCUAGAUCGUCUGACGGUACCUUGUGAAUAAGCACCGGCUAACUCCGUGCCAGCCGCCGCAGUAAAAC